UACCCAUAAUUUGUUCUAAAAAUUAACAAAGAUAAUUUUGUAUAUUCUCAAGGUAUUGAGAAUUUGAGACAUACAUUAUUAGUGGUUAAUUUCUAAAUAUUUUUGAUCGAAGGAUCGUCACAGAGGACAGUGAUCAAUCAUUCAAGAUCGAUGCACGGAUCACCUCCCUUUAGGGCAGAUAAGUCUCGAAUCUGUAGUGUAGAGAUACUAUGGUGAAAGUGCAAGUGGUUAUUAGAGAACAACUUGUACUGAGUAUGACCAACAUGAAAAAUUUUUUGGAUGUCUACUCACUCAUCAGUGAUCUUCUCGAUAUUGUAGUGGUGUGACUGGUCCUUUGACCUGCGAUGUGUUGGCUAUUCACAGCAAGGCUACUUAAUUUGACUACAUGUUCUCUUGAUCCCUAGCCAUUUGGAUCCUUGCUGUAUAUAUUGGCUAUUGUAGGUUCAGAUUCACUGUUUGAAGUAGGAUGCACCUAGAUGAAAUCUAUCGAUCUUGGUAAAAAAGGAGAAGUCCUAUGUGAUUCAUAAGACU
rnacentral:lncRNA from 1 species